UGUUCCUUAAAAAGCAGAUUAAAAAAUGGUUACUAACUUUUCCAUAACUGUUGCUCUUUGAGAUGUUGCUCAUGUCAAUUCCAUGUUAGGUGCGUGCGUGCCACAAGCACUGUUGCUGGAGAUUUUUCCCUUAGUGGUAUCCAUCAGGCUGGCUCUAGUGCCCUCUGGAGCUGCAUGCUCAUGCACCAGUAAAAGGGGCGCAGCCAGACAUGCACCCUCUCGGUUCCUUCUUACCGUUAACUCUGACAGAGGGGUAGGUUGUGGAAUGGACAUGAGCAACACAUCUCAAAGGACAACAGUUACAGAAAGGUUAGUAACUGUUUUUUCUUUGAUUGCUUGUUCAUGUCCAUUCCAUGGUAGGUGACCCCCAAGCAGUACAUUCAGAGAUGGGCUCGGAGUUCAUGGACAUGCAGGCAGCAACACCGCUCUCCCGAAACUGGCAUCAUCCCUGGCCUGUUGUUGUGAUGGUGUAGCAAGAUGUGAAGAUAUGUACUGAUGAUCAGGUUGCACCCCUACAGAUGUCCUGGAUUGGGACCUGUGCAAGGAACACUGCCCUGACGAAGCCUGGGCUCUUGUGGAGUGAGCAGUUAAGAUGGCCGAAGGUGGGACAUUCGCCUGCUCAUAGCAAGCCUGAAUACAGGGGGUUAUCCAGGAUGAGAUCCUUUGGGCUGACACAGGUAGCCCUCUCAUCCUUUCCGCUAUUACUGUUACUACGAAGAGUUAUGUGGAUUUCCGGAAGGGUUUAGUCCUCUUCGUAUAGAAGGCAAGGGCACACCUAACAUCCAGUGAGUGAAGCCACCAUUCCUCAGAGCUCUUGUGAGGUUUUGGGAAGAAGACUGGCAGGAAAAUGGCCUGGUUGUUAUGGAAUUGUGACACCACCUUUGGCAGGAAGGCCGGGUGGGGGCAGAGCUGGACUUUGACUUUGAAAAACACUAUGUACGGCAGUUCUGAUAUAAGGGCCUUGAUUUCAGAGACCCUUCUGGCUGAGGUGAUCAACACCAAGAAGGUGACUCUACAAGAGAGAAAUAGCAGGGGGUAUGAUGCUAGCGGCUUGAAGGGGGGGGAUCCAUGAGUCUCCACAAAAUCAGGUUUAAGUCCCAUGUGGGGAUUGGCUCACAGACCUGAGGAUAGAUCCUCUCCAUCCCCUUGAGAAAUCAUACCAUCAUCUUGUGGGAGAACACUGACCGUUCACCGGUGGGUGGAAGGUUGAGAGAUGGCUGCUAAGUGUACCUUGAUAGACGCAAGGGCCAGGCCAUGCUGCUUUAAGUGGAGCAAGUAGGUCAAGACAGACUGAAGGGAAAAUUGAGAUGGAGAGGGAGCUUGCUGAGGUGCCAUGUUGAGAAGAGUUUUCACUUGGCCAGGUAGCCCUGGUGGAUGGCUUUCUAUUACCUAGCAAGACUUGCCGGACCUGUUCCAAGCAAGUCUGUUCCUCUGGGUUCAGUAAUGCAGCAUCCAUGCAGUUAGGUGCAGGGAGGUGAAGUUCGGGUGAAGCAACCAGCCGUGGUCUUGUGAGAUUAGGUCUGGAUGGAGUGGGAGCGAGAGUGGAAUAGCUAUUGACAGAUAGAGGAGCGUGCCAAACCAGUGUUGGCCAGACCAUGCUGGGGCUAUCAGAAUAACUCUCACCUUGUCUUGUUUGACUUUUAGGAGGACAUUGUGAACCAGAAGGAUCGGGGGAAAGGCGUAGAAUAGGAUAUCUGUCCAUGGCACCAGGAAAGCAUUGGAGAGGGAGCCCAGGCUGUGCCCGUGCAGCGAGCAAAACUGAUGGAAUUUCCUCUUCUGUCUCAUAGCAAACAAGUCCACCUUUGGAGGCCCUCACCUUUGGAAGAUGAACCUGGUGACUUCCGGGGGAAGAAACCACUCAUGGGAGGCAAGGACUAGGGGAGGAACUGUGAGCACAGAGUCCAAGUAGUGUCUGCUUAGGGAAUAUACUGAUGCAAGCCACAUCUGGAGGGACCUGAGGCGCAGUCUUGUGUGUUGAACCAUGGCUCUUGUCUUGGAGGCAUCAAGAAAUGAGGAGGCUGCUGGGGCCUGAAGUGCUUCCUGGAAACCAAUGGAGCAUAAAGGCCUAAGGAUUGUAGGGUGGCCCUUGAGUCCGUCCGGCUGUGAGGUCAGUGUCUGUCUGUUCCAAGAAUAGAGAGGAGCCUUCGAAGGGGAAGUCCUGGAUAGAUUGUUGGACCAUGUGAGGAAACUCCGAGAAUUGGAGCCAAGAACAACUACCUCAUGGUGAUAGCGGAGGCCAUUGUCCUGGCUGCUGAGUUGGCUGCAUCCAAAGUCUCCUGGAGAGAGGUCCUGGCCACAUUCUUACCCUCUUCCAAAAGGGCAGUGAACUCCUGCCUUGAAUCUUGGGACAGAGUUUUUAAAUUUAGCCAGGGAGUACCACAGAUUAUAAAUCACAUCUCUCCAGCAAAACUUGCUGGUUAGAGAUACGUAGUUGAAGGCUACCCUUUAAAUAAACCUUUCU